rnacentral:rRNA from 1 species
AGGGAUCAUUGCUGGAACGCGCCCCAGGCGCACCCAGAAACCCUUUGUGAACUUAUACCUUACUGUUGCCUCGGCGCAUGCUGGCCCCCUCGGGGUCCCUUGGAGACAAGGAGCAGGCACGCCGGCGGCCAAGUUAACUCUUGUUUUUACACUGAAACUCUGAGAAAAAACACAAAUGAAUCAAAACUUUCAACAACGGAUCUCUUGGUUCUGGCAUCGAUGAAGAACGCAGCGAAAUGCGAUAAGUAAUGUGAAUUGCAGAAUUCAGUGAAUCAUCGAAUCUUUGAACGCACAUUGCGCCCUCUGGUAUUCCGGAGGGCAUGCCUGUUCGAGCGUCAUUUCAACCCUCAAGCAUUGCUUGGUGUUGGGGCACUGCCUGUAAAAGGGCAGGCCCUGAAAUCUAGUGGCGAGCUCGCUAGGACCCCGAGCGCAGUAGUUAAACCCUCGCUUUGGAAGGCCCUGGCGGUGCCCUGCCGUUAAACCCCCAACUUUUGAAAAUUUGACCUCGGAUCAGGUAGGAAUACCCGC